rnacentral:misc_RNA from 1 species
UAAUAAGUGUUUUAUGGCACUUUUAAAUCCAUAUCCACCUUGUGUGCAAUGUCAGUCGAUUUCUUUCGUCAUAGGAGAUCGACCAAACAUCAACUUUAUUCUAUUUAACUCUUUGUCUGAAAAACUAUUAUGAAUAAAACUAAUUCAAAAUA